GGCCGAGUGGCGCAAUGGCUAGCGCAUUACUUUCCGGUCAUCGCUGAUGGUAAAGGCUCUGGGUUCGAAUCCCAGCUUGGUCG
rnacentral:tRNA from 1 species